CAGCAAUGGUGGUGCAAGAAAGUUUGUGAACCAUGUAGAAUUUUCUCUAUUUCUGCAUAAAUGUGAUCUAAAGUAUCAGAUCUUCAUGCAAGUCAUAAAACUAGAUAAAGCAAUAACUUCAACCACAUGUUUCUGGUAAAUGUGGAUCAGUCCAGCUCAUCGGCUUGGAGGAAUGUUAGGCCAUUCCUCCUUGGAAAAGUCCUUCAAAUCUGGGAUACUGAUGGGCUUCCUUGCAUGAACUGCUUGCUUCAACUACUUUCACAAUAUUUCUAUAAGAUUAAGGACAGUGCACUUCUACAACCCACACCUCCACUCUGAUCUUGUUGAUUGGAACACUUGACUCCAAAUAGCUUCUGUAGAAGACAUUACCCGUGAGGUUUAUAUACCUUUUCC